rnacentral:tRNA from 13 species
GGAGAAGUACUCAAGUGGCUGAAGAGGACGGUUUGCUAAACCGUUAGAGUGGGUAACUGCUGCGAGGGUUCAAAUCCCUCCUUCUCCGCCA